rnacentral:rRNA from 1 species
GACGAACGCUGGCGGCGUGCUUAACACAUGCAAGUCGAACGCUGAAGCUUGGUGCUUGCACUGGGUGGAUGAGUGGCGAACGGGUGAGUAAUACGUGAGUAACCUGCCCUUGACUCUGGGAUAAGCCUGGGAAACUGGGUCUAAUACUGGAUAUGACAUGCCACUGCAUGGUGGUGUGUGGAAAGGGUUUUACUGGUUUUGGAUGGGCUCACGGCCUAUCAGCUUGUUGGUGGGGUAAUGGCCUACCAAGGCGACGACGGGUAGCCGGCCUGAGAGGGUGACCGGCCACACUGGGACUGAGACACGGCCCAGACUCCUACGGGAGGCAGCAGUGGGGAAUAUUGCACAAUGGGCGGAAGCCUGAUGCAGCGACGCCGCGUGAGGGAAGAAGGUCUUCGGAUCGUAAAACUCUGUUAUUAGGGAAGAACAAAUGUGUAAGUAACUAUGCACGUCUUGACGGUACCUAAUCAGAAAGCCACGGCUAACUACGUG